GGAGGACGUGGGGAACAAGGGCUGUACACGUCGCAGUCCUCCCCACGGACCUCC
ncrna:unclassified sequences RAGATH-31 RNA